GACCCAGUGAGGCGUAGUGGUUAGAGUAUUGGAUUAUGACUCUGGAGGUCAGGGGUCGAUUCCUGGCUCGGCCA